GCAAACACUACUCUGACGACACUUACAACACGGUAAUUAAAAGACACAGAACUUUGCAACAAAUCAACUUUAUUAUACUAAGGCCUGUUUUAUCGGUAGCGUCGAAUACAAUUAAGACUGACAAUAAAUAAUGAGAUGCACAAAUUGGUUAGCACUGCAGUGGUGCAUGAUAAACUUCAUUAAUUAGGCUUCAUUAUGAUAUUAUCUAUUGUUUGAAUUGCAUUCGACGCGACCAAAAUUCGAAGUAUAAAACGGGCCUUAAAAGAUUUUACACCAAUGAAUUAAACUAGAUUUAACCCCCAAUCUCAGAAAUCUUAAUUAUUUGACCAGCUGCAUUAUGUCUAUAUGUGCACAGGGAACCCAUCCCGGGUCUUAUUGAAGUUAUGUAUUAGAAUUACGUGGGAAAUAUAUAGCUCAGUGUUGAAGCCUGCGAUUUGCGGGCUAACCCGCGCGUUUGUGUAUUCAACGUGCGCGUUCACAGCCCGCAAAUCGCAGGCUUCAACACUGAGCUAUAUAUUUCAUACGUAAUUCUAAUACAUAACUUCAAUAAGACCCGGGAUGGGCUCCCUGUGUAUGUGCUGUUUUAGAUUAAUAAAUGUUAUAUGUAAAAUUAAUAUCAGAUUUCAGUGAAUUAUGACCAUAAGAAGCAAAAAGAUAAGGUCAUAUUAAACAAGCGAAAAGAUUAAUAAGAAUUAUAUAUGAAAACCACAAAAAAUUAAUCUUUUAUCGAAAUUUUCAAAAAAAAGUCAACGGAAAGUACUUGUAACAAUAACUUGUAACAAUCAAACGACACGCAAGUCAUAGCACGUUCCUGCAUAUGAAGUGUAAGAUCUUCACGCUGCCCAUUAAUCGUUUUCACAUGACAUUGUGUAUUUCCCAUAAUUUGAUCAAAUUUAUAUCACUCCAUCUUCCCCAUAUGCCAGUGUUUAAAACAUGCAUGGAUAACUUGCAUGUCGUUUCAUCAGAUUUAUGAUUGAAUUGUAGAGAAAAUUCAAAAUGACUCAUAUAGUAAAAUACUUUGUCAAACUAUAUUGACUAGUUUCCUUCUUGAGAUAUUCAAGAAUGAUUGAUGCGCAAAUUCUCCUAACUAUGACGUCAGGUUGCAUAAAGGCUUUGUGAAAUUUAAAUUAUAACUCUUGUAGAUAACUGAUUCGAAUCUGUCGACAUAUAUAGUAUAUAUUUGUAGCAUGUUGACCUAACACAUAUGCACGGUUUUACGAAUUCGAUGAAUGAUAUAGCAAGAUCCUGCAGUUUUUGGGAGGAGUCGUUAUGCAAUGUGACGCCAUAUAGUGAGGAUAAUUAUUUGCAUCUCAAAAAUUGUUAAAUAUCUCGAAAGGGAAACAAGCUUUAAAGUCGGUUUUCCACUUGCGAAUUUUUUCGCGCGAAGCGAAUUUUUCUUUUGUCUUUAUCCAGAUGGUGCCAGUUGAGAGACAAAUGAAAAAUUCGCUUCGCGCGAAAAAAUUCGCAAGUGG